rnacentral:rRNA from 1 species
CCUACGGGCGACAGCAGUGGGGAAUAUUUGGCAAUGGGCGCAAGCCUGACCCAGCAACGCCGCGUGAAGGAAGAAGGCUUUCGGGUUGUAAACUUCUUUUUACAGGGCAGAGCAUCAUACGGUACCUGUCGCAUAAGCCACGGCUAACGACUGGCCAUCAGCCGCUGUAAUACGUAGGUGGCAUGCGUUGUCCGGAUUUACUGGGUGUAAAGGGCGUGUAGCCGGGCUGACAAGUCCGAUGUGCCCUCCGGGGGCUCCACCCACGAACUGCAUUUGAAACUGUUGGUCGUGAGUAUCGGAGAGGCCGGCGGAAUUCCUAGUGUAGCGGUGAAAUGCGUAGAUAUUAGGAGGAACACCAGUGGCGAAGGCGGCCUGCUGGACGACAACUGACGGUGAGGCGCGAACGCGUGGGGAGCAAACAGGAUUAGAUACCCCUGUAGUC